CAUACAGUUUUCCUAGUUUCUCAUCCAAAUGGCAUGAAGACUAUAUCACACUGUGACUAUAUCACAAUGAAUAUAUAUAGAUCACUAGUCAAACACUUCCCAAGCGUUUAGGACUGCGUGAUGUAUCGGCGAAUUAUGCGAGCAGAUCCCAGCAAAAGAAAAAAGGUACUGCAAAUGCACAUUCUAGCAUCUUUGGCAGGACUUACCCUUCUUGUGACUAUUGGAUCGAUUUCAUUGGGAUCUCGGUGUGCAAGCAUCAUCAAAUCCGC